rnacentral:piRNA from 1 species
UGGCUCUGUGGCGCAAUGGAUAGCG